GUGAGACGUCGGUAGAUCUUCGUCGAAAGAUCUUCGCGAGAGUCGUGUCUAUCUAGGUACAUACGAGGUCGAGCCUUCACCUCGAUCACCCAGUAUAUACAUAUGAGACUCGCGUGCGAGAGCGAGACGGGGCGCGAAAGGCAAAGAGAAAGAGAGAGGAAGAGAGGCAGAGAGAAAACGAGCGGGCGAAAGAAGGCAGAGAGAGAGAGAGAGAGAGAGAGAGAGAGAGAGAGAGGCUGCGGAUAUACGUGGAGCCACGCAAGCAAGAGCGAGUGAGCGACGAGCGCGAGUCGGGGAAAGAUUCGGAGGAGAGCGAGAGCGCGACGAGAGAGGAGAAAGGAGAGUGAAACGAGGGAGAGAGCGAAGGCGCGAGAGAUCGGUAAGAGGGGUCACUGGUUGUUCGUUGCACGCUCAACGUAUGGGAAUCGUUAUGGACCAACUACAGCCGUUGGAAUGUAUUCAUUUUUCUUUUUUGUGUCUCCCUCGUCUACCUGGCGAACCACUCUCCCUCCGUAUAGCGGCGGCGGUGGCGGUGGCGGUGGCGGCGGUGGCGGCGGCGGUGGCGGCGGCGGUGGCGGCGGUGAACCUCUUGUGGGCAAUCCUGUCGGCCAGCAACCGGCAACCGGAGGAGGAUCGAGUUCGAUCUGAAGAGAAUGAGAGUGAGAGAGAGAAAAGACAAGCUGUGUAAGCAAACGAGAGAACGACGUGUUGGAAGGAGAGGAAAAACUCAGAUCGACCGCCAUAGAGAGGAGAAAAGAGGAGAGAUUGGUCUAACGGGGUGGUGAGGGUGUAAGCGGCGGCCGAGCAGUCAGGAGUACCAGGAGGGACAGCCGGCAGAAGGAGAAAUAAUGGGACUGCGAGAUAAAAAAGGCGAUCAGGAGGUAAAUCGAUGAUCAUCGACGGACGAGCGAUAGAUUGAAGAGAGAGAGGAGUCGGCAAACGUAAAAAAAUUGUGAAAGUUUGAGCCGAGGAAGAGGAAGGUGCACGAGACAUCAAGAGUUGGUAACAGCCGAUGGAGGAGGAAAAACGCAGGAACGAGGAGAGAAAAACGCUACUUACUCGAGAGCCAGAGCAGAAACUUUUGGAUAAGAACAAUGAUAUAACCGGCACGAUGGAUGUGGAGGAAGCGAACGGUGUCCGCAGACACCGCAAAGAACAAGCUCGAGAACAAGAAGGCUCGCGAAGACGUUCGACCGCGGGGACGUUCGUCGACGUCGCCGUCUAUCGGCACUCGCCGCGGAUGAACUUGCGAUCGCGGCUCAAUUAAAAAAAAGAAGAAAAGGGAAGAUCGCACCGAUUAUCCUCAAAGAGCGAACGCAAGAAUAAAGCGAAGGACGCCGAAGAGCGGGACCAAGAGAAACCGGCACGGAACCGGCGCGCGGCGCGGCGCGGCGCGGCGCGGUGGCGCGAAGACAACGAGAGCGAGAGAUCGGCGCAGGAAAAAAGAUGGAGAAGGAGAGAAAAACGGAGAGUAAGGAAGGAGAGACUUCCGACGUUUCGCUUAAGAACGGAUCUGCUGGGUGAUGGAAGCGAAACUCAGAGGGGAUCCGAAUGGAACCGAGACGAACCGACGAACGGCGAACGGAUGGACGACGGACGACCCGACCGGUAGAAAAUGUAGGUAGAAGGACAAGGCAUGAGACGCGGUUCGCCAAGGGAAAUGAGGAUGGCGUGAACCGGUCCUCUCUCCUCCUGCCUCUUCGCUCCUCUCCCCUUUCUCUCUCUCUCUCUCUCUCUCUCUCUCUCGCUCUCUCCGAGUAGGCACCUCUCUCCUCUCUCUUGUGCCCUCGUCUCGGCGCAAUGCUGCGACGGUUUGACUCACAAUAUGGAUUUGAACGGGCCAAUCGCCACUCGCAGUCUUGUUCACCGGUUACAUAUAUGUUGGGGGGAAUCUGAGCUGAAGAACAUCGAUGUAGGGGAAUCAAAAUGAUGGUGGGGCGCAAAAGGUGCGUCGGCUGGCUUGAGUUAAUAUCCCGCAGUCCAGUUGUACAGUGAGUGCGGAGAGACAACUAUGUCUCAUCUGGUAUCGUACUAGGUGUCUUCUCUUUCUCGGUCUCUGUGUGUCCUUGGUACGACGGAGACAGUGAAGGACUAAACUUUGGGAAAUUCUCCAUUUUGAGUCGUCAGAUAUCCUCUCGGGUCAGGUAUGGUUCUCCACGCGAAAUUAAUAGAUCUGUGAUAAUGCGCAGUUUGGAGAACGCGCGGAGGAGACUGCACACUUUGGAGCAGCACUUCAACUUGAAAAAAAUCAUCGAUUUUAUUUUGCACUCCAGUAAAGUCCGCGCGAAUCGAGUCGGAGCAGUUAUAUAUAUAAAUGCUCGUUAAAAUAAAUACGAAUUUAAAUUUAAAUUAUCGAAUCAAUUUUUUUUCUACGUUUUUAUUAAAAAAGAAUUUUGAACGUAUAGAAAUUACGAAGCAAUUACUUUUCCAAGGUUGCUGGUACCGUAAAGUCACUUCGGUAUGUGAACGACAAAGUAUUACACAUAAUUCUAGAAACUUUUGAAAUUACAGGAUAGAAAGGAAACAUAUUUAUUUAUUGAUAUUUAUUAAAUAGUAGUAAUAAUAGUAAUAUUUAUAAUAAUAGUAGUAAUUACAGUAAAAAUGAAAAACGAAAGCAGGUGGGAUCAUAGAACAUUGAUAGUACUAUGAAAUCCCACUCGCUUUUAUUAUCGUUGCUAUAAUUACUAUUAUUACCAAGUAUCCAAUAAAUAUUACUACCAUAUCGAAAUAUGUACCUAGUUCUAAAGAGUUCUUCUGUGACUUCCGCUAAAAUCCAUACAUUUUAUGUAUAUGUUCCCUCAACAUUUCCAAUGUUUUAUGACCGUUUAGAAAACCGUAUAUAAAAUAAGUUACAUUACUAGAGAGAUUACGAAUUUAGAAAUCCGUAUAUAUGGGUUCAAACUCGCGACUUAGAGAUCCUGCCACUUUGAGGUCUAUCGUUCUCACGGCAAUCCGUUGAAUAGAAUAGUAGAUAGACAGAAUUUAUUAGCUGAGCAAUUAAUACCUUUGUGCAGCUAGCUUUCCCUACUAAAAAGUAUUGUCGCAAGUAAUUCAUUGUAUUCAUACAGUCUAUGGUCAGAGAACCUUAUGGAAGUUUAUGGAAGUCACCUCGAGUUACCCGGUUUAUUUUGUAGUAGCGCAUUGAUUAUUGCUGUGUUGCUAACCUACAUCCGUGGAAACCGAUGAAUGGCUACACAUUAAUACAUAUUUUAUAGCUGCGCUGAUGUUAACAAAGAAUCAGGAAGUUAAAAGAAUUUUUUCACUAACGGUUAUUCAUAAAAGUAUGCAUAUAACUGAAUCAGGAAUUGUUCAGUUUGUAUGAAAAAUUGUACGUUUGGAUAAUUACAUGAAAGAUACCUGUUAUGCAAUAAUGAUUAUAAUCGUAAUAUUCGUUUCAUCAGACGAGUUAUAAAUAACAAAAUAAGGAAAUAUACAAUGUAUGUAAUAUAAAUGACAAAACUAUUAUCACACUUAACAAAUUUUUAUAAAAUUUAUGUUAAGGAAAUCAUAAAUAAUUAAUUUUUAUUUUUAUUGCAUCCUAACUGCGUAAAUCAUAGCAAAGAUUGCAAACUGGUUUCAUGAUAACUGCAAUUUUUAUUGGAAAGAAAUAAUCAGUCAAUAUCAAUUCUGGAAAAUUGACUUUGUUUAAAAAAUUUUUUAAAUAAAGUUAAAUUUUUAGAUGUUUUAUAUGUUUCGUUUGUAUCAGAAUGGAAUAUUUCCGCACUCAAAAAUUUAAAAUGUCAUAUAUGCGAGAUAACAAGUCCGCAAAUCAAAUCUAGAUCUUUUGUUUGACAAUUUUAAUAACGUAUUAUCUAGCAUUUCCAAUACUUGUUAGAAUCAGAAAAAUCAGAAAAUCAGGCGGCAAUAAAUUUACAAAUUUUUCAUGGCAAAAAUCGUAAUGAUGAUUAUGAUAAAUCCAUAAUGCAUUAGAUGCAAAAAUUAAUCAUUACAUUGCCUUAGAAACAAUAAUGAUUUAAUACAUAAAAAACAAACGAAAAAAUAGAGAAAUUAGAAACGAUUUCUACAAUUGAAAAUUUUGAAUUUCUGUAAAUUUUAUAAAUGCAACAUUUUUGCAUGAGGUUAUUUUCCGUCGAUGACCGUAUAAUUAAUAUGUAAUGAAGCAUUUGAGUUGUAACAUUUUGAAGCAUUAUAGUCAUCCAUAGAUAAGAAGUCUCUGAUUACUUAUUCCAAUCUUGAGAUAAUUAGUAAUGUCUAGAGAGCAAGGAGCCUUUUUGAAAAUUAUAAUAUCUUCGAAAUGGUUCCUUACUCUCUAGCAGUAAAAUUCUUUCACUGCUUCAGAUUAUGAAGCAGUAAAAGAAUCUUACUAAUAUUUAACUUUUUUUUUACUAAUUGCUUAUCUUGAGAAUGACAUAGAGCUAAUGGUUUUUUCUAAUUUUUGUCCUUCCUAAAAAUUGAUCUGAAUACAGGUACUUUUCCACCCGCAUAGUUUUAUGGAGAUUCGUAGUGUUUCAGAACUAAACUUACAUCAUUCUCGAUGUAAGCGACUCACGUACCGGUCGACACGAGAUACAUUAGUUGAAAUAUACAGUUUUGAAAGUACCGAAGCGUGGAAUACCUUGAUUUCGUGCCUAAUAGCUGAGCUGUUACCACAAGAAUUUUAUUUACAUUCAAGAUUUUGUCGAACGGUCGAACGGUCAUAUUGAAUACAGUAUUCUAAACACAAGAGAGGAACCAAUAACAGUAGGUUCAGAACUCGCUUUCUUCAACACACGAAUGUUAUAUGAUUAAUAUUCAGAACGAACCUUGAAAUCUUUCCGAAACUUUUACAAUUGACUUCGCGAGUACAGCACAUUUGUUUUCUAUUCGUUGAACUACCAAAUUCCGCGCACGAUUACUCAGCAUUAACAUAAAAAUCUGUGUCUUUAUUUCUUUUUAAUUGGUAAUUAUGUGCGCAAUUUAAGAUUAAAAUUCAUUAUUAGAACAUUAUUUCCUUUAUUUACAAUAUUUUUAGUUACUUUGUAUAAAAUUAUUGUUCCAAUAUUCUCUCAAAUAUUUCUCAGCACUGCUAGCACUUUUUCGCGAACAUAAUUCUCUCUCUUUCUUUUUCUCGAAUUAUUAAGAAUUAUUUAUGAAAUGCUAAACUUGAAAUUCUUGGUUUAUAUUCUUUCGCGGUUUAAUUAAGAUUCCGCAGUGCUCGCAUUAACAAUUCGCAUUAAAAAUUAGCAUCCUAUGAAGAGGAUGCGUCAAACAAUGACGUAACGAACGUAAUCGAACAGAAACGAGAUAAGAAAGGAGAAUGCACGAGGAUAUAAGUUCGCGCACCUCGACUUGCCACAAGAUAUCAGAGAACUUCUUCAAGGCUGUAACAUCAGGAUCGUCGAAUACUUUGGUCGGUUAAUAACUUAACAAGUUCAAUCGUUUAUUAUGAAAAUGAUUUACGUGGCAUGGUCGAAGGUCGAUUCUUUUUCACUUUGAACAAGAUGAACAGGAAAUUAUUACAGUUUUAUAAUCCUUUUUCUGAUCUUUAGAUUCUAUUAAAGAAAGCCAUUAAAAAUUUUUUUUUUUUUUUCUAUAUAUACAAAAGCAUUAUUUCUUUGCAUUCGUACAAUUCAAUGUAAAUUAAAAUUAUUAAUUAACAAGUUAAUGUUUAAAAUAAAAUACGAAAAAGAAACAGUUUCCGCUGGUAAAGGAAACAUCUGUGCUAAACGCGGUUAUCGCUAGGUAAAAUAAUUUUAUGUAUUGUUCUAGCAAAGCGUUGAAGAAAUCUUUUCCAAAGACGUAGGAUAACGCGAGUCGAGUGCAUAAUAUCCAAACCAUUAGUUUCUACUGACGUAAUCGAUCGUGCGAAAGUCAAGGAAGCUUUAUUAAUCAAGCCAUGUUCUCGUGUUAUUAAUGAGAAAUUGGUAUUGCGAGAAAUCUGCUUAUGUUAUCUCAGCUAAAAGUUUCAAUCUUUUUAUUAUUUACCGUUAACUCUCAUUAAUUAUUAUUAACGUGCAACAUUACAAUUCCAAAUUUUUUUUUUUCGUAAAUUUUUCUUCGACGACACAUCCUUCAUAAAUUUUCCAAUUUUUGUACUUGUUUGUACCGUACGUUUUAUUGUAUUUUCUGAAAGACUGAUCGCUGGUUCCGUAUUCGCAUCACCCGUGCGCACAUCCUCAUCGUCGGCGAUUCGCACCGUUUCGCGUGCGAAUUUACGCGGGCCUCUUAGCAACAAGUUACGCACACACACCUGCCGUGGAAAAGCGGAGCCGCGCGAGCUCGUUCUCGUUGCUGUGCAACUCAAGCAAGUCUCCUCCUUGUCGCUCGACAAUCUCCGUAACAUUAUAUUUGUCUGCCUCGUGGCUCGUAAUCGAGUAUAACUAUUUCGCACGAGAUCGUUGAUAUUUCACUUAAGCAGAUUCUUUUCCACGUGGAAUACGAGUGAGAGAAAAUUGCACGAUAUGCAAAUUUCGAAUUUGCAAGAAUUUGGAAUGAUAACAAGAUCCUCGCUCGAUUAUUUAAUCUCUCAAAAUGGGAUCCAAGAUUUUUGACCUGGAGAUCAAAAAUGUGACUCUUAUACUCAUAUUUGAUCUCAAUGUUAAAUAAUUGAACAUUUGUUAUUUAAAUUCAUACGUUUCCCGCGAAUAAUGAAAUAAAUUUUUUAUUUUCGUCAUCAGUUACAAGUGAAUAUCUCGACUUGAUCUUAAAAUUAAUAUUUUAUCUGAAUCAACUGACUCAUUUCUCAAACGAAAUCAGAAAAAAAAAAUUAUUUGAAUCUAAUUACAAUUUGAUUUGAAUCUAACAAGCAUCUCCUUGCGAACGACAUAAUCGAAUCCUUACUCUGCAAAUUUUGCAAACAUUUAUUACGCUCUGACAUGCACACGAUAAUAGUUUUAAUUAUCCACGUUAUAUUUUAUUAUUUAUAAUUUAUUAACUCAUCCAACGAAACGAAUAUAACAAACACUUUCCACUUAUAUGGUCAUCCGAGCACGCAAUUUUUCAAAGAAACCAAAUAAUCUCUGAUUCAGAUAAUAUGUUUAUAAAUAAAAGUACGCAGAACUUUUAUUUGUGACAUAUGGUAUUACGAACAAUAAAGGUUCUAAAAUUUUCUAUAUUGUAAAAUUUUUUAUAUGUAAUAUUUAAAUUGUCCCUUCACUAAUUUGGGAGUAAAUUUUUUCCUAAGGUAAAUGUCUUCUUUUUUUACAAAUUCUUAACGUGCAAUUUUAGAUAUCUUAUGAGCCGUGGGUACUAUCUGGAAGUAAGUAAAACACGUUUGCUCACAUCGAUAAGACACAACCAUAGGAGUGACGAUAAUUCACAACGUCGUAUCUCACGUUGGCGCGUUAGAAUUUCAGCAUCAUUGAUUAUUCGUUUAUACGGCGUAACACGCACUACCGGUCCGUGUUGAAGCACACGUGCGUAUUAUGCACAAAUUUGUACGUAACAUUAACGACAGAUCGUACUGCGUACGCGUGGCAAAAAGUACGUCAUUUAAAGAUACUUAUACUUCCCCUUUUAUAGAUAUGUCUAAUUUAAUUGUCUCUUUAAGGUAGACCGAGGCGAAUCGGAUCAAUUUUUCUUCAUAGGUAAACAAAUAAUUUUAUUAAGUUUUACUAUAAAUUCUUCAUCUUUAUAUCUUUGGCUUGAGUCUUAUACAAUAAAAUAAUACAUAACCAUUUUUCAUUUCUUGCGUAACGAAAAGGAGUAAUCCGAUUCACUCCAACAUUGGGGACGAAGCGGAUCAUCAGUUAAAUAAAAUUAAAAAAUAAAAAUAAAUGAAUAAACUCUUUGAAAGAGUCUUUUAAGUCUUUUCGUUGCAAACUCAAAAUUAGGAUCGUGAUUUUAUAGAAGACAAAAUUUCUUCGCGCAUCUACGAUUUUUGCGAUUGUAUCAUUGAUUAACAAUAAAUCACACGUAAUACAGAAUUGUUGUCUAUUGUUUUCGCUGCAGAGAGAGAGAGAGAGAGAGAGAGAGAGAGAGAGAGAGAGAGAGAGAGUGUGUGUGUGUGUGUGUGUGUGUGUGUGUGUGUGUGUGUGUGUGUGUGUGUGUGUGUGUGUGUGUGUGUGUGUGUGUGUGCACGGAACGGAAGUAAGCAUGAUAAAACAGAUAGCACGAAAUAAAAAACUAUGAUAACUAUCUCAAAAAUGAUCCGAUUUGUUCUGCGAUUCAAUUUGCUUCGGUCUACCCUAUUGUGUGCGAAUUUAUUUGGAAUCGUAAUAUUCCUCUAUCUUUCCAUUUUUGAAAUAUUUUCGAGCCUUCCUCGCUGCCGAGGAAGACACUUUUCGACCACUGUUCGACACUGGCAAGAAGUCGCUUUUACGUAGCGCGCACAUUCACCGAAUACCGCAACCGGUAUUAUUGCCGCGCGGAAGCCUAUAUCGCGUGCGAUCUUCAUUGCGUCGGCGAACACGUCUGAGAUCGGCACGGUAGAGCGAGCGUCCGAGAAGCAAAAUGCAAACACGCCGCAUCUACCCGUUCUGCAUACGUACACGUUCCGCAAAUUUUCGUUCAGAGAUCGACGACGCGCGCCGGAAACAGUGAAACGAUCUAGACCAAAGCCAAUUAAUGUAAAAUUAUUUCGAGAAUGCCCGUCGCAAAAUCUGCAGUUUUAGUAUCGAUUUGAGUAAUUUUUAAAUAGAAAAAACGCCCAAUUUUAAAUAGAAUAUUCUUCUAAAUUAUCUACUAUUUUUUAGAUAAAAUAUUUUUUUAAUUUAAUAUUUAUUCAAUUUUGCAAAU